rnacentral:rRNA from 1 species
AUGCACGCUGGCGGCGUGCCUAAUACCUGCAAGUCGAGCGAACAGACGAGGAGCUUGCUCCUCUGACGUUAGCGGCGGACGGGUGAGUAACACGUGGCUAACCUACCUAUAAGACUGGGAUAACUUCGGGAAACCGGAGCUAAUACCGGAUAAUAUAUUGAACCGCAUGGUUCAAUAGUGAAAGACGGUUUUGCUGUCACUUAUAGAUGGAUCCGCGCCGCAUUAGCUAGUUGGUAAGGUAACGGCUUACCAAGGCAACGAUGCGUAGCCGAGCUGAGAGGGUGAUCGGCCACACUGGAACUGAGACACGGUCCAGACUCCUACGGGAGGCAGCAGUAGGGAAUCUUACGCAAUGGGAGGAAGCCUGACGGAGCAACGCCGCGUGAGUGAUGAAGGUCUUCGGAUCGUAAAACUCUGUUAUUAGGGAAGAACAAAUGUGUAAGUAACUAUGCACGUCUUGACGGUACCUAAUCAGAAAGCCACGGCUAACUACGUG